rnacentral:rRNA from 1 species
CCUACGGGAGGCAGCAGUGAGGAAUAUUGGUCAAUGGCCGGAAGGCUGACCCAGCCAAGCCGCGUGAAGGACGAAGGUGCCAAGCAUUGUAAACUUCUUUUGUCAAGGGACAAAAUCAGGCUCGAGAGCCUGACCGAGGGUACUUGAAGAAAAAGCAUCGGCUAACUCCGUGCCAGCAGCCGCGGUAAUACGGAGGAUGCGAGCGUUAUCCGGAUUUCUUGGGUGUAAAGGGAGAGUAGGUGGAUUGUUAAGUCAGUUGUGAAAGUUUGCGGCUCAACCGUAAAAUUGCAGUUGAAACUGGCAGUCGUGAGUACAGUAGAGGUGGGCGGAAUUCGUGGUGUAGCGGUGAAAUGCUUAGAUAUCACGAAGAACUCCGAGUGCGAAGGCAGUUUACUGGACUGCAACUGACACUGAGGCUCGAAAGUGUGGGUAUCAAACAGGAUUAGAUACCCCGGUAGUC